AAAAACAUAGCUUCUAGCCCAACAACUAUUAGAAGUAGCGCCUGCCCUGUGGACCCCCUAAACGGCCGCGGCACCAAAACCGUGCAAAGGUAGCACAAUCAUUUGUCCUUUAAAUGGGGACUCGUAUGAAAGGCAGCACGAGAGAAAACCUGUCUCCUAAGACCAGCCAAUGAAAUUGAACUACCAGUACAAAAGCUGGUAUAUUAAAGCAAGACAAAAAGACCCCGUGGAACUUAAUAACCCGUUUACGCAAACUAAACGAUAACUUUAGUUGGGACAACUUUAGAAAAAUUAAACCUCUAACACCGCCAAGGCCAACAAGCCUAAGAUAUUAAAACUGACCCAGUCACACUGAUUAAUGAAAUAAGCUACCCCGGGGAUAACAGCGCCACCUUCUCAAAAGUCCAUAUUAACAAGAAGACCUACGACCUCGAUGUUGGAUCGGGGUACCCCGACGGCGCAGCAGCUGUCAAAGGUUCGUUUGUUCAACGACUAACACCCCACGUGAUCUG
rnacentral:rRNA from 1 species